CCUACGGGUGGCAGCAGUGGGGAAUAUUGCACAAUGGGGGAAACCCUGAUGCAGCGACGCCGCGUGAAGGAAGAAGUAUUUCGGUAUGUAAACUUCUAUCAGCAGGGAAGAAAAUGACGGUACCUGACUAAGAAGCACCGGAUAACUACGUGCCAGCAGCCGCGGUAAUACGUAGGGGGCAAGCGUUAUCCGGAUUUACUGGGUGUAAAGGGAGCGUAGGCGGUUUUGCAAGUCAGAAGUGAAAGCCCGGGGCUUAACCUCGGGACUGCUUUUGAAACUGGUUAACGAGAGUGCAUGAGAGGUAAGUGGAAUUCCAAGUGUAGCGGUGAAAUGCGUAGAUAUUAGGAGGAACACCAGUGGCGAAGGCGGCUUACUGGACUGUAAAUGACGCUGAGGCUCGAAAGCGUGGGGAGCAAACAGGAUUAGAUACCCGGGUAGUC
rnacentral:rRNA from 1 species